CCGCUCUUAGCUCAGUGGUAGAGCAUGUGACUGUAGUCUUCAGUUGGAUAUCACAGGGUCGCCGGUUCGAUUCCAGCAGCGCGGA
rnacentral:tRNA from 1 species